GAUCUAUUAGUGCUUUAAAUUGCUGGUUUAAUAUUCCCCUUGUUACAAAAUAAUUACUUAAGUAUCGUUUUAUUGUUAGGUCGUUAAAAUUGAGAUGUAUACUGUGAAGUGGCAGGAAGUUGUUGAAAGCUUUUCUUAUGUACUCAGUUUAACAUAAUUUGUACUCUUUAAAAUCUAGUUUUCCAACAAGAUAGUGUCCUAACUGACCAUUUACUUCAUUUUUGUGUUCUAUUUUCUCAGAACCGGAUUUAACAUCGAUUAAACACAUGUAGGACGUCAUAGAUAAGAGGCUUUAGCCUCCAGAGUCUGUGAAGAAGCUCCAGCAUCAAGUUGAGGAGACUUGGAAAGUGGUACCACCUCAUUACAUCAACACCAAGACGAGUUAAUGAGUGACUGAACCAUCGUCAUCAUUGAUUCUGAUUAACUAUCUCUGUAUUCUAUUUUCUGUGACCCAGAACCGGACUUACCACCAAUUGAACACAUAUAGGACAUUAUAGAAAAUAGACUUCAACUUCCAGAGUCUUUGGAGAAGCUCCAGUAGCAAGUUAAGGAGGGUUAGAAAGUGGUACCACAAACGAAAUUGACCACAUCAUUACAUCAACACCAAAGCGAUACCUUUGUAUUGUAUUUUCU